GUGAACGCUGGCGGUCGGCCUAACACAUGCAAGUCGAACGGCAGCACCGUAAGAGCUUGCUCUUACGGGUGGCGAGUGGCGGACGGGUGAGGAAUACAUCGGAAUCUACUUUUUCGUGGGGGAUAACGUAGGGAAACUUACGCUAAUACCGCAUACGACCUACGGGUGAAAGCAGGGGAUCUUCGGACCUUGCGCGAUUGAAUGAGCCGAUGUCGGAUUAGCUAGUUGGCGGGGUAAAGGCCCACCAAGGCGACGAUCCGUAGCUGGUCUGAGAGGAUGAUCAGCCACACUGGAACUGAGACACGGUCCAGACUCCUACGGGAGGCAGCAGUGGGGAAUAUUGGACAAUGGGCGCAAGCCUGAUCCAGCCAUACCGCGUGGGUGAAGAAGGCCUUCGGGUUGUAAAGCCCUUUUGUUGGGAAAGAAAAGCAGCAGGUUAAUACCCCGCCGUCCUGACGGUACCCAAAGAAUAAGCACCGGCUAACUUCGUG
rnacentral:rRNA from 1 species